rnacentral:lncRNA from 1 species
UAGGUUAAUUGAUCAAUGAGAAUAUUCUAUAAGUCCUAAAACUAAGGGAGCAUGCAAAAUUAGCCUAUUUCUAACACUAGGGGUAAAAUCGUCAUUUCACAAUUAUGAAUUAAUACCUAUUUAUUUCUAUUUUAUUAAGUAAGUUCUAUUAAGACAAUUAACCUAACCUAGAUCUAAUAUUAUUUCUAAGAAUAUUUCUAACACUCUAAAUCAUUACCUAAUCUUGAUUAAUUCUAAAUCUAAAUUCUAACCAAAAUUAAUAUUUCUAAUUAAUCUAAAAUUAUCUAAUUAUUCUAAAUCCUAAAAUUAAUUCUAAUUGUUCUAAUAUUCUAAAAUCUUAAUCUAAAUCUAACUCUUUAUUAAGCUAUUUAACCUAAUGGAACUAAUUAACCUAACUAAUAAUAUUAACUAAUAAUAUUCUAAUUAAACCAAAAACAGUUAAAUCUUAAUUGAUUAACUCCUAAGUUCUAAUUAAAGGACUUAACAAAAACUUAAGAAAAACAACAAAAAAUCCUGGAGCCGGGCCUUUGCAAUAGACAAGGGGUGUAGGUCCAACAUGAGAAGUGUGGAUAGGAAUUGAUCCGCUUGGGCCUUAACCUAAAACCGGGAUUCGAGCUUCAGAUAGGAAAGAAUGGAUCUCCGAUCUUCUUAUCCACCUGCGUACUAGCCUGGGUCGAAAAUGAGCUGGAGUUUCUCCGAAGGAAUUCAUCGCAUUGUGCGGCCAAGAAGACUCCGACGAAGCUCGCACAAGUCCGUUGCAUGUUCAGAUCCGUAUAACGCUCCUUGUCUCCUUUAGAUUCCAUGUCUUACCUCACGAAUUCAUGUACUCUCCAAUGAAGAAUCAAGAACAACAAUCGGAUUCGUCGGAUACUCUCAACAUUGAAUCGACAUCGAGACCGAGACUGAAUUAACUUCCUUUCUUUUUCUUGUGCGCGAAUUGAAAGAAAUUGAAGAGAGAGUGGUUACCUACCGGAAUCGAUUUGUUGACGGUGCGGUUGGUUGUUCGUUCUGUGAGUUCCUGCAGCAAAAUUGAAGAGAGAGUGGUUACCUACCGGAAUCGAUUUGUUGACGGUGCGGUUGGUUGUUCGUUCUGUGAGUUCCUGCAGCAUCGGCUAAACCGAGAGCGAAGAGGGAGAGCGUACUCGUGGCGCAAUGGAGCUUCGAAGAUGGAAAGCAGAAUCGAAGCUGUGGAUUCACCGGUUCAGGUACUCACCUACUUCUGUUGCAGGUUCUUGGAUGAGGUUUUUCUUAUCUCUGUUAAGUCAUUGUAUGGCAUGUUUUGUUGUUUUUCAUGGUGGAUUCUGUUAGAUGAUUGAAGAGUGAUAUUGGAUUGAAGGUGAUGAAAUGGAUUGAAGGUUGGUGUGGUGAAGGUUUUGUGAAUGGAGGUUGAAGUGGCGGUUACCGGUUUUUGUGAGUUUGUUACGUUUGUUGAAGGAAUUGAAGAGAGGAAGAAGAAGCCGGAAGCCGAGAAGUGAAGAUUGAAGAAGAAACCUGAUUGAUGCGUGGGUUCCCUUUAUAGAGCCCUGUUUUUGCAGAUUUCUCUGUUAGAGUUUGUUAGUUAGUUAUGAAUUUUCUGUUAUGGAUUGGUUAUGGUUUUUGGCACGUGCGUUUUUUAUGCAGAACUUGGAGCUUAGAAGUAGCUUGGCUUGUAUGUAAAGAAGCUUACGCUUGGCUCAUUUGGAAGUUUGGUAUUGUUUCAACUUGGCGUUGAUUGUGCGUUUGGAGCUGGCUUAUGCGUUUUCCGGUUUGGCUUAUGGCGUGUGGCUCGUAGCUUGUGGGAGCUUGGAAGUAGCUUUUGUUUCACAUUAUUUUUCCUGCACUGCCGUCAUUUUCUGCUACUGUCCUGCGCUUUGAAGCUUCAUUUCCUUUUGAUUAUUUGGUGACUUGGCUUGUCAUUUUAUUAUGGAUUACGUAAUUGGACUUAGUAAGUCGUAAGCUAAAAACAUGUACUUUGUUAAUAUGGCUAUUGAAAUGGCAAUGCAUUGGAUUUGGUUAAUUGAAAGCUAAAAAAUAAAUGGCCUUAUGCAUUGUUUUGGACAUUAGCAACGAAUCUAAAUGGUUAUGGAUGUAGAUUAUGGGAUAAAUGGAUAAUUGGCCAUUAAAUUGGAUAAUGAAUAAAAAUGGGUAGUUGGUCAAAUGGACAUGGAUUUGGAUAAUGGUAAAAGGGAUUAAUUGGAUAUUUGGGUAUUUGGAUUUGUAAAUGAAAAAAGGACUUGGAUUAGUUUAUGAGUGGAUUUCCUAAAUGAAUGGAAAAAAUGAUUUUGGAUAAUUAAGAUGAAAUAUGGACAAAUUGAAUGAUGUUUAGAAAAUGGAUCAAUUUGGAAAAUGGUUAAUGGGCUAAAAUUAUGUGCUUAAUAAAAAGAAAUGGACGGGCUCAAUGCAACCACGAUUAAAUCUCCAAAACCAAUUCAACUUUUCAGUAAUCAACUCAGAUCAUCCAACUCAACUUGAAUUUCCAAAAUUAAUUCGAGAAAAGAACGAAAUGAUUUCUAAAACCAAAUUUAUUUUCAAAGAUCAAAUCUAACUUCAAAAUCAAUUCAAACUUCAAACGUUAAUUUGAAAUUGAAAUCAACACGAAGUUAUAAUUAAUCAGAACCAAAAAUGAUUUCUAAAACCAAAUUUAUUUUCAAAGAUCAAAUCUAACUUCAAAAUCAAUUCAAACUUCAAACGUUAAUUUGAAAUUGAAAUCAACACGAAGUUAUAAUUAAUCAGAACCAUUAUUAACACGAUGCCAAGAGGAUGCCUGCUUGUGGCGAACCAUGCUUAUUCAAUGAAAUGAAUGAAUGAGGAUGAUAUGCAAAUAUUUGGGAUUAGUGACCUAUAAGAUCAAUGUGAAGGGUGGGACGAAUUUUGGGGUAUGACAGCUGCCCCUAUUUAAUCUUCUCGGACCUGAAUGUAUGGAUAGCAACGACUUCCAAACAAUCAAGGUAGGAGAUGAUUAAAUACUUGAAUAACAGGAAAUUUGUCCGCCAUGAACAAAUGGAAAGCAAUGUGAAGAUGGGUCACAAGGAGGUCUUCUUCACUGGGAUAUAUGGGAGAACAAACAUGUCUUUGCGCAGGGCAGCUGCUGGGAAUAGGAAUGCCAUUUGGUAAAUGGAUAUGUGAGGGGUUAGCUAUGCAUGGCAUAGGCAGUAUGCUAAUGCAACAUGAUUGAUAUUUUUUUUAUUUCAUCUCUACUAACAAGUUUUUUGAAGGCACAGAGAAAGCAUUUUUCGUUGGGGAUAUCUUCUUGGUAAUUGUUCUUUUUUGGACUGGUUUGCCAGGAGAAUCCUAGGAUUCGGGAUGGCGGAUGACCUUAUUGGGACGACAGUAGGCGAGUUAGGAGGUAAAUUGUUGGUUGACAACUCUGAGGUUGGGGACAAAAGCAGAAGCAACACUGAUUACUGGGGAUUGAACCAUCCGACCUCAAUACUGUGACUGGGGUACAAACUGGACAUUCUCAACUCUACGGUUGGAAACGAAUUAUGAUCAACAUCAGUUCUGAGACUGGAGACAGGGUAAGCAUCAACCCUGAGGUCGGGUUUGCAGAUGAACAUCGACUCUAAGGUCGGGAACAAAGGUAAUAGGCGUCAACUCGGAGGUUGGGUUUGCAGUUACCAACUAUAAGGUUGGAAAAUAAGAAGACAUACAACUCGAAAGUUGGGAAAAAGGUAGCCAUUUUGCUCUGAGGCUGGGGAUAAAAGGUAGUCGUCAACUCUAAGGUUGGAAAAAGGCAGUCGUUCAACUCUGAGGCUGAAGAAAGAUAACUAUUCAGCUCUGAGACCGGGGAAUAAGGAGACAUACAACUCUGAGGUUGGGUGUAACACGACACUUUCACUCUGAAGUGUAAAAAGGUAGGUACUCAACUCUAAGGUCGAAAAAAAAGUGAUCGUCAACCCUAAGGUUGGAAAAAGUUAGGUCCUAAGCUCUGAGGAUCGAAAGAGAUACACCGACUCCGAAGUUGGAAAAAUGUAGCUGCCCAACUCUGAGGUCGGGAGCGGAAAAUGGUAAACGUCAACUUCGAGGUUGGGAAAAGGUAGAUACUCAACUCCGAGAUUGGGAGAAUAAACGAUAAACGACUCUGACACCAACUCUGAGGUUGGAAAAGGAAUAACAACUCUGAGGUUAAGAUAAGGAAAGGCAACAUACAACUCUGAGGUUGGGGUAAUACGAUAAACGGCGACAACUCUGAGGUUGAAAAGGGGCUACAACAUUGAGGUUGGAAAAAGGUACGACAACACUGCGGUUUGAAAAAAGGGGCGACAACCCGCACACACACAUACACACGCACACCCGCACACACACACACGCACACACACAUACACCAACACACACACACACAGACACACACACACACACGCACAUACGCACAUACACAUACACACACACACACGCACACACACACACACACACAUACCAAACAACCGUUUGUACACAAGAUCUUUGACUAUCAAAGUCAUGAAUUAGGAUUUAAUCCCUAUGAUGUGUAAUGCCAUAAACUCCAAUCUAAAACCCCGAUUUUAUCAACCACAAACCCUGAAUCUGUGACGCCUGUCAGCAGAUGAAUGAAUGAAUGCACAUGAAUGAGUAUGAAUGAGGUUAGAUGGAUAUCAAGUUAUAGUCAGAUGAAAAAGCGAAAAGGAGGGCAAAUUUUGGGGUAUGACAGCUGCCCCUAUUUAAUCUUCUCGGACCUGAAGGUAUGAAUAGCAACUGCUUUCAAACAUUCAUGGUAGGAGAUGAUUAAAUACUAAAAUAACCAAGAAAUUUGCCCGUAGUGAAUGAAUGAGAUAUAGGUAAAGGGUGUUUAUGGAAAGUUAUUCAAUGAGAUGCUUUAUGAAGUCAUGCAUGUUAUAUGUAAUAUGCCAUGUAGGAUGAUCUCUUUUUUUGUGUCUUUCUCUAUUUUUCCAUUCUGUUUUCUUAUUUUGCCUCCACUAACGAGUUUUGGCUUGAGAUUGGUAAUCGAGUUCCCGCAGGAUUCCGCGAAGGUAAAGGAGGUGUUUGCGAAAGGCAAGUACCCAAGUAGAAAGAAUUGGAAUGAGAUCCCUUGCAAAAGGCAAAGAGACAUCUUGCUAAAGGCAAGUAGCUCAAUUGAGAAGCGACCUUCUCUUGCAACUGGAAGCAACGACUCCUUAGCAAGAGAAACGGAAUCUUCAAAUUCAGUUAAGAAAACAAGGAUAGACAGACUUCUUUCACAAAAGGUGGUGAGAACUCCUUAACAAAAGGUUAAGAAGAAGAAUGAUGCGACCUUGCUGGGGGAUAUGAUUUCUUUGUACAACAGGUAGCAACGACUCCUCUGCAUAAGAGAUGGGGUCUUCCAAACAAAAGGUUAAGAAGAGAGAUGAUUGAAUUUCUCACACGAAAGGUAGUGAGAACUCCUUAACAAAAGGUUAAGAAGAGAAUGGGGUAUGAGAUUCUCGUACAAAAGAUAACGGGAACUCCUAGACACAAAGUCUGCUGGGGAUUCUCACACAAAAGGUAGUGAGAACUUCUUAACAAAAGGUUAAGAAGACGCAUGAAGAUGGACAUGAUCCCUCAUACAAAAGGUAAUGAGAGCUCCUUAACAAAAGGUUAAGAAGAAAGGUGAAAGGAUUUCUCAUACAAAAGGUAAUGAGAAACUUCUUAACAGAGGGUUAAGAAGUAAUGAGAGCUCCUUAACAAAAGGUUAAGAAGAAAGGUGAAAGGAUUUCUCAUACAAAAGGUAAUGAGAAACUUCUUAACAGAGGGUUAAGAAGAAAAUUGGAAGGGAUUUCUCAUACAAAAGGUAAUGAGAAACUUCUUAACAAAAGGUUAAGAAGAAAAAUGGAAGGCAUUUCUCAUACAAAAGGUAGUGAGAAACUUCUUAACAAAAGGUUAAGAAGAAAGAUGGAAGGUAUUUCUCAUACAAAAGGUAAUGAGAAACUUCUUAACAAAAGGUUAAGAAGAAAUCGAAAAGGAAAAUCUUCCCAUACAAGAGAUAGCAACGACUUCUUUGUAGGGGGAUAUUUCCAGGCCAAAAGCAGGGAUCACUUACAGAAGGUAAGCAAGUUCAAGAAUGACAAUGCUCGAGCGAAAGGCCGAGGAGACUUACAAAAGGUAAGCAGCUGGGGAUAACAAUCUUUAUGCAAAAGGCACAAAGGGGACUCACGAAAGGUAAGCUAGAAAAAGGUAAGCAGCUGGGGAUAACAAUCUUUAUGCAAAAGGCACAAAGGGGACUCACGAAAGGUAAGCUAGAAGUGGAAGACCUACCAUGCAAAAGGCAGGGAAUACUUACGAAAGGUAAGUAAAGGACGAAAGGUCACAAAUAUUUGCACAAGGCAAAACAAAGAGUGGGACAAGACCUGCUAGGUAAAACCUAGACUAAAGGGGAUCUGCCAGACAAAUCUGGGCUUUGGCACACUCUGACAGGUGGGGAACUUUGCAAAUAGGUAUGAAAACCUCAUAUUGUCCCUCAGGCACAACGACGGGGAUGAAGUUCUCAAACAAUGGCUACCCAACCCCCGGGACUCACCAAACCUACAUCAAGUGUUUAAACAAACAGGAUGCAAAGAUCUGAAAAAGGUACCCUACUCGUGCGAAAGGCAUCGAGGGGGAGACGUGAUUUCGUGCACAAAGCAACGAAGUAAACUCACAAAAGGUAAGUUAUCUCAAUAAUCUUCUCCAAGCGAAAGGCAAGGAGGACUGGCACGAGGCCGAAAGGACUUACGAAAGGUAAGUGACUGACGAAAGUCUCAGAAUGGUACUUGCCAAAGGCAACACGACAAAGAAAUAUCUCGAGGAAACCUGCGGGGAAUACCAAUCCAAGGAUCCUUGAUGAUGUUCUCGUUGGGGAGGAAGAACAUAUCAACAACUGAUUUUUCUUUUCCUUUUUUAUGCUUUCGAGAAAGACUUUUAUGCAGUUAUGCAUGUUUAUUUGGCGUAAUGCUCCAUCUUGAUGGAAUAUGCUACGUCCUUUUGGGGAUGCAAUGUUAUGUAAUGCGUGAUUAUUUAUGAGAGAUGUUGAUGCAGUUUAUGCAAUGGUCUGGGUGUAUUUGGGUACACCAAGUGUGUUUGGGUUUUUGGAUAAGGCUUUUUGUAGGGAUAUGACUUCAAAGGUUUAUGAAAUAACAAUUGUCCUCGUCAAAGAGUUGACUGAAAAGGAAGGUCGUCAUCAAAGAGUUGAUGGCUAACAAUUGUCAUCGUCAAAGGGUUGACGUCGGCAUCAAAGAGUUGAUGAAAGGACUGUCGUCAUCAAAGGGUUGAUGGGAAAGGAUUAUCAUCAUCAAAGAGUUGAUGGGAAAUGGAUUGUCGUCAUCAAAGAGUUGAUGAAAGGAUGGUCGUCAUCAAAGAGUUGAUGGAAAACCAAAUUGGCAUCGUCAAAGGGUUGACGAAAGGGGAUAUCUCCACCAAAGGGUUGAUGGGAAGUGGAAUGACGUCAUCAAAGAGUUGAUGGAAAUGGUGCUUAGGUAAUAUCAUCAUCAAAGGGUUGAUGACAUCAUCAAAGGGUUGAUGUUAGAUAGUCACCAUCAAAGGGUUGAUGGGAUGAUGGUUGACUUUGUAUGCAUAUGAUGCGUGUAAAUUUGAUGCAAUUUUUUUCAUCUCGGCGAGAGAGUUUUUUUUUUUUUUUAUAUGGAACUUCCUACCUCGACAGGAAAGUUAUGCAUGUAUGUUGUAUGCAAUGCAUUUGGAAAUGCAAGAUGGUGAUUAGCUCUUUGGGUUGGUCCCCCUUUUCUAAGGAUGAUAUCCUUUGGGUACCAAUAUCGAUUGGAUUUGAAUUGGUGAUGAUGCCACCAACGUGGACUUUGGGAUUUUGGUAGUUGCCAAUAAAGAUUGGACUUGUGGUUUGGGAAAGGAUUUGACUUCCCGACACUCGAUAUUUGAAGAUGCCAUGAUCGGAGGAUAGACGCGGAUGCCAUUGGUGCCCUAAGUUUGAUCCUCGGUCGAAGGUGCAUCUUUGUUCCCAAGAGAACUUCCAUUUCUUUGCCUGGUAUAUCAUCUCAAGCUUGCAAAUGAUUGCAUGAGCGUAGCGACGUAAUCAAUGCAAAAUGAUUGUGCUCUUGUUUUGCCCCAGUUAGUAGGGUAUUCAAAGGAAUCUUCCUUGAAAGGAAACCUUGGGAGGGAUUAUACCAUGACAUGGUCUGAGAUGAUUUGCCCCAGUGUCUGAAUAUGCGUUGGUCUGCUCUUGCAUGGCCCCUUGAGGGAGUUGCCCCUGAUUAAUCAGGUAUUGACGAACUGUCUCCUUGAUCAACUGAUGCUUGGAGAUUUGCUUUAGACUACCCAACUCUUUGGUCAACACAUUCGUUGGAUGUCAUGCCCCUGAUCCAUAGGGUUAUGAAACAAUCUUGAUUCGGGAUAGCCUCGGUCUCGACGAAUGUUCAAGCUCUUCUCUGAUUGAUCUUUGGAAUCUCCUUGAUGUCAAGCACUGACUUGCAGUUAAAAUUGUUCAUUUAACAAUGGCAAUUUUAAUGUGACAUUCAUGCAAGUUUUGAAAAGAAUCAUUUAUUUGAGAUGAUUGUAGUGACAUAUGACAAAUGGACCAUUAGUCCAAACGUAAUGCUGAUUUUGCUAACAUGAAAGGUACAUUGAAAACAUGAUAUCAACAUAAAAGAUUAGCAAGUAUCUAGGAGUCGGUUUACGCAACCUUGCUGUAGUAUGCUUUUUCAGAAUAAACCUUGCUUCAAUUAGGUCUUUUGAGGGUUGUAACGUGGCUUGGUUCACGGUUAUUGAAACAAAGGAUAUAAGGCUCAAAUUUGAUUUUAACCCACCCCUUCUUCGUGAUGUCCUCCAGUCCUACGUUCAGCUAAUUCAACACACACAUUUAUCAUCCAAGAGAGUUUGACGAUGUAAGAGUGAAGAUGAUGAUUCAAGGUUCGCUUGAAAUGACAGUCACCUUAUUUUCCACAGAUGUCAGUGACCUUUGGAUUCCUGAUAUGGCGGUCACCUUAUUUUUCUUUGUCUUUUAUUGAGGAUUUAACGACCUCUUUUGAUUUCUUUUGUCUUUGUUUCUCCCUAAUUUUUGCCUGGACCUUUCUUUCGAAAAUUUUGGUCCACCGGGAUUACCCUAAAUUUUGCCUAAGUCACCCCUUUGGGGGUUCGACUUAGCGGGUUUUUGCUUUUUCCUUUUUUCAAGUUUUUUUUUGAAGGGUUGUGACUGCCAAGUCAUUAGUUGUUGAAGAACCACCAUCAUAGCUUUUGGAUUCGACGCUUCGGGACGUGUGCGAAGAGCAUCAUGUGGUUGAUCCCUAGACGGGAUAUUUCAUCUUGUAAUCCGAAUGCAUAGUCGAAUCAACUGAACACUACCCUGCCCCAGGUUAAACGUAAGGGUUUUUAGAUCCGAAAGAAACACCUACUUCUAGGCUCGAAGUGGUUAACUAGGGAUUAACUCCUUAUCUCUCCGGUGUUUGGGAUUUGGAACAAUGCCUGUACAUCAUCAACAAGGUUUUAUCUGAAAGCAUACAAUCAACAAUUAUGGGUAUCUUGUUUCGUCAUCCUCCCUCCAAUACUUGCUAAACAACAGUUUAAUAAAGUGAAUGGAUUUUUUUUUUUUACGAUUUUUUUGUAAAUAAAUGAGAACAUAUGAGUGAAUACGAAUGGAUUCAUUUAAAACAUGCAUGCUCAUUUUAUUAAUACCACCAUUUAUAAACAACAAUCUUUAGAAGCAAGUAGCACUUAACAACAAAGAAACUACAAAUGCAAAGUAAUGAUGUGAUACGAGGAUUGCCAGUGUUGGGGAACCAGACUUUCCUCUUUGCUUUGUGGUCGGGCUGGUCUUCCUCAUAGUUUCUCGUCGAGACCAAUAUGAGAGAUAACAUGCACUGACGGACCUUCAUGACUAGGUGAAGGAUUGUUGUUGAUUUGAAGACCUCGAGGCGUAAAUGAGAACAUCUUAGAGUCAAGCAACUUUUGCACCUGGCUUUUCAACACUUUACAAUCUUCAGUUGAAUGCCCCUGUGCCCCAGCAUGGAAGUCACAUCGGGCGUUGACAUCAAAGCCUGGUGGGUAUGGUGGAAUCUCUGGACGCAGUUCCUUCGGUACUAUCAAUCCAUCUUUGAUCAAAUACGACAGUACUUGACUAUACGACAUUGGAAGUGGAUCAAAAUGCCUUAUUGGUUUCCUUGGCCUUUGUCGAGUGUGUUGACGCUGCUGAUGCGGAGCUUGUCGUUGAUUCCACGGAGAUCCUCUAUUUUCAGGAGGGUAUUGACCUUGUGGAGGGAAUGGCGCCUGAUAUGGAGCUUGUAGAGCUUCCCAGAUUGCGUUAACUUCCAUCUCCCCUUGCCUUUGGGAACUGACAAGGGAUUCAUCCUCACUAGCCUGGAUGUUCGAGAUGUCUUGGUUCUUUCCACUUUUGAGCAUGCUCUCGAUGCGCAUUCCUGCCGACACCAAGUGAGAAAAAUCAGGUGCAGUACUUCCUACCAUCUUUUCAUAGUACGGACCUUGCAAGGUAUCCAUGAAUGAGUCAAGCAAUUCUUUUUCCCGAAGUGGUGGUUGAACUUGAGCGGCUAACUCUCUCCAUCUUUGGGCAUAUCCUCUGAAGGAUUCGUUGCUUUCCUGAGAUAAACCUUGCAACUGCAUACGACUGGGAGCCAUGUCCAAAUUGUAAUUGUACUGCUUCAAAAAGGCGUUAGCCAGGUCUAACCAUGAUCGGAUGUGGCACUUUUCUAGCUGCAUGUACCAACUCAGUGAUGCUCCACUGAGACUGUCCUGAAAACAAUGAAUCAUCAGCUUAUCAUUGUGAACAUAGGAAGUCAUUUUUCUGCAAAACAUCACCAAAUGUUGCUUUGGACAACUAUCCCCUUUGUACUUUUCGAAAUUAGGUGCCUUGAACUUUGGAGGCAUUAUCAGACCAGGCGCUAAACACAUGUCUGAAGCAUUCAACCCGAAAGCAUCAUGCCCUUCUAUGGCUUUAAGCUUCUCUUCUAACACCUGAAAUCUUUCAGCAACCUUCACAUCUCGUGGAUCCUUGGUUUUCAUCACUGGGACUGCCCCUUGGGAAUUUUGUGCAGAGAAUGCAAAACUAUGAUACUCAAUAGCAUCACAAGAGGAGUGUCCGUCUCGGACAAUGGGACGCUCUUGUAUAAUCUGGUCCUCGACAGGGAUCUGCACAGGGUGAGUUUGGGCAAGAUUGUUUACUUGAGGUGGAACGCCAUUCUCAGUUCUUACCGUCCGUUGAACGUUUUCAUCUCUCCUUGCCAAGGCUGUCAUAGCUUCCACGAGUUGGUCCAACUGAUUCUUUAUCACAUCAACAUCCGCCUUUGACGCAAAUUGAUUUUGUUCCAUGAUCUUUCAAGUCCAAUAUGAGUGUCGGGAAAUCAACUGCGGGUUAUGGACAAAGGAUGAAUGAGCUUGUUUUUGUUAUGGUUUGAAAAUGCUAUGCAAAAUGAUGCAUGGAUAUAUGCGAAUUUUUCACUUUGAUGUAUGAAUGAAUGGAUAAAUGAAUGGACGACAUUCAAGCGCAUAGAUUCAAAAGUUUGAGGUACGGAUGAAGGAUAACACUGGUUGCUUUCCAUAACUGGGAUCUCACUGGUUGAAGUCUAGGGUUAGAUAAGGACCCCAAAGUCAUUGAUUCAUUUGGCUGUUUGACGCUUACGGCAAGAGCUUGUCGGUCGUCAACUCCCUCAAAUGAGCCUCUUCUGGGUGAGAUCUUCGUACCGACCCACGCGAGAAGAGCUUCUCGGGGACCCGCACUACGCGACCAUCGACAUCGGGUUCUAGACAAGGGUCUCAAAGUCAUGGAUUUCCUUGACUGUUUGCCGCUUACGGCAAGAGCUUGCCGGUCGUCAACUCCAUCAAGAAAAUCUCUUUUGAGUGAGAUCUUCGUACCGACCCACACGAGAAGAGCUUCUCGGGGACCCGUACUACACGAUCAUCAACCUUAAUAGGUCAUAGGUUUAAUGUUCUACAAAGGUCCUUAGAGUCAUGGAUCCAAAUGAAGACAUUGAUCGCUUACGCCAAGAGCUUGACGGUCGUCAACGUCUCCAAAAGAAUCUACUCUAAGCGAGGUUCUCGUAUUGACCCUUACGAGAAGAGCUUCUCGGUGGCCCAUACUACUCAACCUCUCCUAUCUCAAGUUUACACUCUAGACUCGGGUAGAGAGUCUUUCCCACAAGGUUACUUGCAAUCAAAGUUUCCAUCCACCGAUAUCAUAGAAGCAAGGAACUAUGUAUUAAAUAUUACAGAAUUUAAAGCAAAAGGCGAUAAAUAAAACAAGCAAUAUCAAAAGGAUAAGCAUACACACAUGCGAGGAAACAACCUAAAUUAGGCUUGACUUGCUUAGGGAGGUGUCCCCAGCAGAGUCGCCAGCUGUCGCUACGCGAAAAAUACAGAGUCGCCAUCGGUUUUUAUUUAUUCCAAAGGAAAGGGAAAAUAUCGAGAAAACCCCAAAAUAUGGUCGUCGCAACCACGAACAGGUUCGGAAGUCGAUUAUGCAAGGGGAAGGUAUUAGCACCCCUCACAUCCAUGGUACUCCAUGGGAACCAUCUAGGAUGUUCACGCUUACGUGUGUAUUGUUUAUCGAAUGCUUGCUUGCCAAAGGUUUGCGGAGUGGAUGUAGAUUUUAAAUUAGUGUGCUCGCCAAGGAAUGGAUCCUCGUGCCUACGUAUGCCCACUUGUUGAAGUGAGAAAUCAGAGCGUCCGUAGUUCGUGGUUUUGAAAUUGUUUGUGUUUGUUUUGUUGAUUUUAUUACCUUGAAGAAGGAUUUUCGAUUGUGUCGCCCUAAGGCUCAAACAAAAGGUUUGAAUGCGUUGAGUUGUUUUUACGUUUUUGAGAAAGUGUUAUUGAUUUCGAAUCGCACUAAAGACUAUGGAUAAAGGUGAAUACCUCAAACGGUCAAGCCGAACGUCUUGUGUUCGAAGCAUUCAGGAUGAGUGUAGGAGAGCUCCAGUCUCAUCCCUUCUUUAUCGCUUAAGGCUCGUGACGUACGAUCCUAAUCGCCAUUUAUUAUAUUUUUGAGUUUGGUUUAGAAAAUGACCGCUUGACGUUGGAUCAAGGGUUUGUUUAUUGUUUUUGACUUAAGAAAAGAACCACUUGACGUUGGAUCAAGGGUUUGAUUAUUGGUUGCGAAAUGGUGAACGUUCCUAAUGCCUAAGGAGUAGCUAACAAGCAAUAAAAGAAAGCGAGUAAAAGCAUACAUCGGAAUGGAGAGAGGGGUACAUGUAAAAUACAAGGGAUGUGCGAAAGUAAAAAUCAUUCAAAUGAAAGUUAAUUCUAAAAUCUAAACUCUAUCUAAACAUGCAUUAUAACUAAGGUUAACCACAUGAGAAAUAAUAGUUAGGUUAAUUGAUCAAUGAGAAUAUUCUAUAAGUCCUAAAACUAAGGGAGCAUGCAAAAUUAGCCUAUUUCUAACACUAGGGGUAAAAUCGUCAUUUCACAAUUAUGAAUUAAUACCUAUUUAUUUCUAUUUUAUUAAGUAAGUUCUAUUAAGACAAUUAACCUAACCUAGAUCUAAUAUUAUUUCUAAGAAUAUUUCUAACACUCUAAAUCAUUACCUAAUCUUGAUUAAUUCUAAAUCUAAAUUCUAACCAAAAUUAAUAUUUCUAAUUAAUCUAAAAUUAUCUAAUUAUUCUAAAUCCUAAAAUUAAUUCUAAUUGUUCUAAUAUUCUAAAAUCUUAAUCUAAAUCUAACUCUUUAUUAAGCUAUUUAACCUAAUGGAACUAAUUAACCUAACUAAUAAUAUUCUAAUUAAACCAAAAACAGUUAAAUCUUAAUUGAUUAACUCCUAAGUUCUAAUUAAAGGACUUAACAAAAACUUAAGAAAAACAACAAAAAAUCCUGGAGCCGGGCCUUUGCAAUAGACAAGGGGUGUAGGUCCAACAUGAGAAGUGUGGAUAGGAAUUGAUCCGCUUGGGCCUUAACCUAAAACCGGGAUUCGAGCUUCAGAUAGGAAAGAAUGGAUCUCCGAUCUUCUUAUCCACCUGCGUACUAGCCUGGGUCGAAAAUGAGCUGGAGUUUCUCCGAAGGAAUUCAUCGCAUUGUGCGGCCAAGAAGACUCCGACGAAGCUCGCACAAGUCCGUUGCAUGUUCAGAUCCGUAUAACGCUCCUUGUCUCCUUUAGAUUCCAUGUCUUACCUCACGAAUUCAUGUACUCUCCAAUGAAGAAUCAAGAACAACAAUCGGAUUCGUCGGAUACUCUCAACAUUGAAUCGACAUCGAGACCGAGACUGAAUUAACUUCCUUUCUUUUUCUUGUGCGCGAAUUGAAAGAAAUUGAAGAGAGAGUGGUUACCUACCGGAAUCGAUUUGUUGACGGUGCGGUUGGUUGUUCGUUCUGUGAGUUCCUGCAGCAUCGGCUAAACCGAGAGCGAAGAGGGAGAGCGUACUCGUGGCGCAACGGAGCUUCGAAGAUGGAAAGCAGAAUCGAAGCUGUGGAUUCACCGGUUCAGGUACUCACCUACUUCUGUUGCAGGUUCUUGGAUGAGGUUUUUCUUAUCUCUGUUAAGUCAUUGUAUGGCAUGUUUUGUUGUUUUUCAUGGUGGAUUCUGUUAGAUGAUUGAAGAGUGAUAUUGGAUUGAAGGUGAUGAAAUGGAUUGAAGGUUGGUGUGGUGAAGGUUUUGUGAAUGGAGGUUGAAGUGGCGGUUACCGGUUUUUGUGAGUUUGUUACGUUUGUUGAAGGAAUUGAAGAGAGGAAGAAGAAGCCGGAAGCCGAGAAGUGAAGAUUGAAGAAGAAACCUGAUUGAUGCGUGGGUUCCCUUUAUAGAGCCCUGUUUUUGCAGAUUUCUCUGUUAGAGUUUGUUAGUUAGUUAUGAAUUUUCUGUUAUGGAUUGGUUAUGGUUUUUGGCACGUGCGUUUUUUAUGCAGAAC